UACGUAGGGUGCGAGCGUUGUCCGGAAUUAUUGGGCGUAAAGAGCUCGUAGGCGGUCUGUCGCGUCGAUCGUGAAAACUUGGGGCUUAACCCUGAGCUUGCGGUCGAUACGGGCAUGACUGGAGUUCGGCAGGGGAGACUGGAAUUCCUGGUGUAGCGGUGGAAUGCGCAGAUAUCAGGAGGAACACCGGUGGCGAAGGCGGGUCUCUGGGCAGUAACUGACGCUGAGGAGCGAAAGCGUGGGGAGCGAACAGG
rnacentral:rRNA from 1 species